GUAAGCCGCUUUCGCCUGUGACGAAGCGUGAGUGACGGUAGUGGGUAAAGAAGCACCGGCUAACUACGUGCCAGCAGCCGCGGUGAUACGUAGGGUGCGAGCGUUGUCCGGAUUUAUUGGGCGUAAAGGGCUCGUAGGUGGUUGAUCGCGUCGGAAGUGUAAUCUUGGGGCUUAACCCUGAGCGUGCUUUCGAUACGGGUUGACUUGAGGAAGGUAGGGGAGAAUGGAAUUCCUGGUGGAGCGGUGGAAUGCGCAGAUAUCAGGAGGAACACCAGUGGCGAAGGCGGUUCUCUGGGCCUUUCCUGACGCUGAGGAGCGAAAGCGUGGGGAGCGAACAGGCUUAGAUACCCUGGUAGUCCACGCUGUAAACGGUGGGUACUAGGUGUGGGGUCCAUUCCACGGGUUCCGCGCCGUAGCUAACGCUUUAAGUACCCCGCCUGGGGAGUACGGCCGCAAGGCUAAAACUCAAAUGAAUUGACGGAA
rnacentral:rRNA from 1 species